UGGGGAAUAUUGGACAAUGGGCGAAAGCCUGAUCCAGCAAUGCCGCGUGAGUGAUGAAGGCCUUAGGGUUGUAAAGCUCUUUUACCAGGGAUGAUAAUGACAGUACCUGGAGAAUAAGCUCCGGCUAACUCCGUGCCAGCAGCCGCGGUAAUACGGAGGGAGCUAGCGUUGUUCGGAAUUACUGGGCGUAAAGCGCACGUAGGCGGCCAUUCAAGUCAGAGGUGAAAGCCCGGGGCUCAACCCCGGAACUGCCUUUGAAACUAGAUGGCUUGAAUCUUGGAGAGGCGAGUGGAAUUCCGAGUGUAGAGGUGAAAUUCGUAGAUAUUCGGAAGAACACCAGUGGCGAAGGCGACUCGCUGGACAAGUAUUGACGCUGAGGUGCGAAAGCGUGGGGAGCAAAACAGGAUUAGAUACCCUGGUAGUCCACGCCGUAAAACGAUGAUAACUAGCUGUCCGGGUUCAUGGAACUUGGGUGGCGCAGCUAACGCAUUAAGUUAUCCGCCUGGGGAGUACGGUCGCAAGAUUAAAACUCAAAGGAAUUGACGGGGUCAUAGCUGUUUCCU
rnacentral:rRNA from 1 species